UUUAGUUAAAAACCUAAGAAAUAGGAUAUUAAUUUUUCUUGUCUGAAUCUUAUGUUUUAUCCAAAAGUUUGGCCACAAAUUUCCAGCACAUUGCUGAAACCAGAAUUCUUCCAGUGACUACUUUUGUGAAGGAACGAACUGUUUUCAUAAAUCAAGCUUAAGGAGUUAUGAGUCUAAUAAUCAUCAUUAUUGUCAUCAUUCCAGAUCUUCAUGGAAUGCUACUAUGAGCUGAAUGGGAUGCCUGAGAUACUGCCUCUAGGAAGCAAAGUGGCUCAAGAGGCUGGCUGGCAAGAUGGCCGAAUAGGAACAGCUCCAGUCUGCAGCUCCUAGUGAGAUCAACGCCAAAGGCGGGUGACUUCUGCAUUUCCAACUGAGAUACCCAGCUCAUCUCACUGGGACUGGUUAGACAGUGGGUGCAGCCCAUGGUGGGUGAACUGAAGCAGGGUGUGGCAUCGCCUCACCUGGGAAACACAAGGGGUUGGGGAACUCUCUCCCCUAGCCAAAGGAAGCCAUGAGGGACUGUGCUGUGAGGAACAGUGCAUUCCAGCCUAGAUACUACAUUUUUCCCAUGGUCUUCGCAACCUGUAGACCAGGAGAUUCCCUUGGGUUCCUAUACCACCAGGGGCCUGGGUUUCAAGCACAAAACUGGGCAGCCAUUUGAGCAGACACCAACCUAGCUGCAGGAGUUUUUUUUUUUUUUUUUUUUUUUUUUUUUUUUCAUACCCCAGUGGUGCCUGGAACACCAGUGAGACAGAAGUGUUCAUUCCCCUGGAAAGGGGGCUGAAGCCAGGGAGCCAAGUGGUCUAGAUCAGCAGAUCCCAACCCCAUGGAGUGCAGCAAGCUAAGAUCACUGGGUUGAAAUUCUCGCUGCCAGCACAGCAGUCAGAAGUCAACCUGGGAGCUUGAGCUUGGUGGGGGGAGAAGUGUCAACCAUUACUGAAGCUUGAGUAGGUGGUUUUCCCCACACAGUGUAAACAAAGUUACCAGGAAGUUCAAACUGGGCAGAGCCCAACAUGGCUCUGGAAAGCCACUGUCGCCAGACUGCCUCUCUAGAUUCCUCCUCUCUGGGCAGGGCAUCUCUAAAAGAAAGGCAGCAGCCCCAGUGAGGGGUUUAUAGAUAAAACUCUCAUCUCCCUGGGACAAAGCACCUGGGCGAAGGGGCAGCUGUGGGUACAGCUUCAACAGACUUAAACGUUCCUGCCUGCCAGCUCUGAAGAGAGCAGCAGAUCUCCCAGCGCAGUGCUUGAGCUCUGCUAAGGGACAGACUGCCUCCUCAAAUGGAUCCCUGAACCCCGUGCCUCCUGACUCAGAGACAACUCCCAGUAGGAGUCGACAGAUACCUCAUACAGGAAAGCUCCAGCUGGCAUCUGGCAGGUGCCCCUCUGAGAUGAAGCUGCCAGAGGAAGGAACAGGCAGCAAUCUUUGCUGUUCUGCAGCCUCCGCUGUUGAUACCCAGGCAAACAGGGUCUAGAGUGGACCUCCAGCAAACUCCAGCAGACCUGCAGCAGAGGGGCCUGACUGUUGGAAGGAAAACUAACAAGCAGAAAGGAAUACCAUGAACAUCAACAAAAAGGGCAUCCACACAGAAACCUUAUCCGAAGGUCACCAACAUCAAAGACCAAAGGUAGAUAAAGCCACGAAGAUGAGGAAAAACCAGCACAAAAAGGCUGAAAAUUCCAAAAACCAGAGCACCUCUUCUCCUCCAAAGGAUCACAACUCCUCAACAGCAAGGAAACAAAACUGGAUGGAGAAUGAUUUUGACGAAUUGAUAGAAGUAGGCUUCAGAAGGUGGGUAAUAACAAACAUGAGUAGAACAUGCUAAAGGAGCAUGUUCUAACCCAAUGCAAGGAAGCUAAGAACCUUGAAAAGGGGAGAUUUCAAGAUGGCCAAAUAGGAACAGCUCCAGUCUACAGCUCCCAGUGUGAGCAGCACAGAAGAUGGGUGACAUCUGCAUUUCCAACUGAGGUACUGGGUGCCUACACCACCAGGGCCCUGGGUUUCAAGCACAAAGCUGGGCAGCCAUUUGGGCAGACACCAACCUAGCUGGGAC
rnacentral:lncRNA from 1 species